GCACAAAAUAACCCUAAUUCAUCUCAACUCUCUUCGAUAUUUUCAUCUUUCUUCUCCGAUUUUCAUUUUUCUUCUUUAAAUUUCCACUUCGGUUUCAAAUUUCUCACAUUCCUUUCCUUCCGUCCAGUUUCCGGUUUUUACUGCUCUGUUCUGCUGCUCCGCAAUCUACAGUUCUGCAAUUGGUCGUUCUAUUGCUCAGGUUUUCUACUCAACGAUCCAAAAUUCCACAAACCACCAAUUUUAAGAUACACAGUGGUUUCUCCAACUAAAUUGUUGGAUUCAUAACUCUAUUUGUUAGCUGGUGAGUUUUUCCUUAUCCUUGUAGUUGUUUGAUGCAUAAAUAUAUAACAUGGUUUACUUACAAUAAUUAGAAAACGAGGCUUCUUUGUUGGUAGGAUGGGGAUGUUUCGAGUAUUUUCGUUUUUCUUUCUCUUAGUGUUUGGAUUGCAUUAGAUACUUACAAUGUCUAAUGUAUGUAUUCUUAAGUUUCUGGAUGUUCACUAGUUGGUAUUAGUAUAGGUCUGUUUCCUGUGUAUGGACUGAGGUAUUCCAAUUUGGGAAAGAUGCUUAAUUUUGAUUUUGAAUUAUGAUAAGAAAAUUGGUUAGACUUUCGAUUUUGGAGUGGAAGUUAAAACUGUGUAGCUCUUAUGAGUUUUAUAUAUAACUAUAUGUAUCUUAUGUUGUUGUGAGUUUUAUAUAUAACUAGAUGUGUGCCCGUGCGAUGCACGACACAAUAUGGGAUUGAGACUUUUAA